rnacentral:misc_RNA from 1 species
GAUGUUUUUGUCAGUAAAAGUUAAAAUGGAAGCUUGGUAGCACGUCAAAAACUGGGCACUAAAUAUAAACGCAAAUGAUAAUUACGUUUUAGCAGCUUAGUAAAACUGCUGGUUUCUAUUAGGCAACCCACAGCCCAGCUAGAAACGUCAUCUUAGUGAGGAACGCCUUAAGGGAUGCCGUUAUAAUUUAAGUACAAUUAGAGCUGGUCAAAUCCGCACUAUGUUGCUGGAGGAGGUCGGAGAUGAGAAUCAAAACAGGAACUACGCUCGUGUUCGUUAUGCACACUCUGCCAGA